UGGCUAAAUAACUUCCCGGCGCUGCAUUAGGAAGAAUGGGAGGGAGACUGGUCACCAGUUUUGGCAUCAGGCUAAUAUCUUUUAUUUUCCUUAACCGCGGACACUUAUAGUCUGUUUUUGUAUAGUAGUUUUUUUUUUAGAUAUACUGUCUGUGAGCAGUAUGGAUUUACCCAUUGACUCCAGCCUGUUCUUGUCGGAUGACCAAGAUGUGGCCAAACUGGUGCAGGAAGAAUUCCAAAAACAAAUACUUGCGGACAGUGAGAAAUCUCAAAAGGCCCAAAACGCAAGGAAGAAUACGGAUCUCUGGGACAGUCUAUGGAACUCUGUUGACCCAGUAGUUAAUAAACUGGUUAAUCAAGUGGCCAGUCCCGUCUUUAGUCCGGUCUUCUGCUUGGCUUGUGACACCAUGUUCUUCAAUAGGCUGACCCUUGAGGAGCAUGUCUGCCCUUUUGUUAGCUUCAUUUGUUCGUGUGGUAUUGGUUUCACCAGUUAUCCUGAAAUGUGGUCCCACAGUCUGUCCCACAACCACAAAGCAUCGUACGUAGUGAAUCACAAAAGUGCUAUCCAGAACAGGAUCAAUUCAGUUAAAGAGCAGGAAUCCAAGCUGAAGUUUUUAGAGGCUACUGCGAAGAACGUCGGCAUUGUCCAGAAGGCCGUUCCGGCCACACAUUCUGCUACAUCUAUGACGAGGUACGCCGUCGGACGAACGAUUAACCUUUGGAGGCGUUUCAAACCAGUGGUGAAGAUCGAGACUCUUCAGGCGUUUCCCUGUCAAAGGAAUUACAUGUGCAUGGUUUGCCGCGAAGUGAUGUGUAAUCAGGACGUGCUCAUCGAGCAUGUCCAUGCCUCACACCAUAACACCUGCAUAUAUGGCUGCAUUCGCUGCGGGCUGCUUUUGAUAAGCAGCGUGACUCCGAAACCUCACCACAAGUGCGGCUCCCUUUACACCGGCCCUUCCAAAAGGUUCACUGUUGGCCACGUGGUUAAAGACCCUCUGGCAGCAGACAGACUGUAUAUGCCUUAUGCUUGUCAGUACUGCUCUCUGAAAUUUUGUCAUCCAGUGCACCUAAGCAACCACAUCCAUCUCAACCACACCAACGUAUCCAAACUGCGUGUAAACAAGUCGCAAGGAAGCAGCGCCAAAAGAGUCCAGCACACUUUGAAGAACAUGCCAAACAGAACCUCACAAACUCAAAAACAGAGGUGCGCGCUUUGCGGCAAAAUGAACGACUCAAUCAAGAUGCUUGCGCAGCACUGGUGCGUGAGGAAGCUGACUUUGUUCAAGGCUGAGAAGGUCACAAAGAUGAUCAGCGAGAAAGACCAACAAAGAUCAGACUGGUGCUCACCAAUAGAGAGUGACAGCGAAGAACUGACCUUCUGCUUUCAGGACAUCAGUGACAUGACGACGCAUGGUCAUACAAAGCUACUGACGAUAAAAACGGAGCCGGUAGAGGUGAACCUGAAGAUGACCCAAACAGACUUUUCUCAGAGGGUAUCUGUCAAAACCGAGCCCGAUGAUGAUAACGGAGUGGAAAAAGCCCCGAGUGAAAUGAACAGACUCUUUUACCAAAAUUGCAGUACUCCCAAUGCUAACAAUCUGAAGUGCUGGCUUAGCAGCAUAUAGGGCCAAAGCUAUGGUUUACAAGUGUUUUGGAAUUGUUCUCUUCAUUCGUGGAUAGUCAUGUUGUAUAGACUCUCAUUCUGCUAUUUGAGCAAAUUUGAUGUAUUUUACUCGAUGACUAGCGUCCCACAGCUUCGUCGUUCAUGGUUUUCUCCGACGUUUGUCAGCUAUGUUGAGUAAUUCCAAUAAAAGGAAAAGCAAAAACGUCCCCGCACUUGAAGAUUCACAACAGAAUUUCUGUUUUGCUUUUAAACCAUGCAGGUAGGGCUGGGCAAUAGGACCAUGUAUAUCAUUAUUGUGAUAACGUACACUGAUCAGGCCUAACAUUAUGACCAGCUCCUUGUUUCUACGCUCAUUGUCCAUUUCAUCAGCUCCACUUACUGUAUAGCUGCACUUUGUAGUUAGUUUCUCUGGUACUUUGUUGGCCCCCUUUUACCCUGUUCUUCAGUGGUCGGGACCCCCAUGGACCCUCUCAGAUCAGGUACUAUUUGUGUGGUGGAUCAUUCUCAGUACUGCGGUAACACUGACAUGGUGGUGUUAGCAGCACAACACACACUAACACACCACCACCAUGCAGUGCUGAGAAUGAUCCACCACUCAAAUGGUACCUGCUCUGUGAGGGUCCAUGGGGGUCCUGACCACUGAAGAACAAGGUAUGCAGAGAAACAGAUGGACUACAGUCUGUGAUUGUAGAACUACAAAGUGCACCUAUACAGUAAGUGGAAACAGCGUUUUUGUAAUGUUAUGCCUGAUCGGUGUACAUCAUCAGUACUUGUAGAACACUGACCAACUGCAUGUUUCAUUGUAAAGAGAGCAGAAUUUAGAUUUAGUGCAGCACAUUAUGCCAAAUAUCGAAUAAAUUAUUUUAUUAACACUGCUGUUUCUUUUUUUCUCAGUUCCAACAGAUCAUUUGUCUGAAAAAGUAAAUAUGGUGUGACAUGCACUGUGAAUUUCUUGAAAUAUCACAGUAUUUUUGCCGUAUUGCCCACCUCUACAUGCAGUUUUACAGGAAACCGAUCGUUCAUUUCAGUCGUUGCCAGCAAAGUCGUUCAGAGUGGUUUGGUGUCAGGUGGGUCACUGUAGAGAAACUUGCCAAAUCUGAUUUCCUUCCAGUGGUGGUGAUGGGAACCAGGCAUCCCUGGCUGUGUUUACUUGCAAAGACUUUUGCGGAUCUGAUUGAAUACGUUCUGUUUAUAGAGUAAGACUGAGGUGUUCAUGUGCUCACUAUUAAACAGUCUGAUGGAAAAUCUCCAUUCACACGCAC
ensembl:lncRNA